rnacentral:misc_RNA from 1 species
AGCAAGAAUGGUUGGUAAGUACUUAUUCUGCUAUCCUUCUUAUCUGUUUUUUCUGAAGCCUUUGCCAAGCUUUUUAUGUAGAGCCAUUAUACUUCCCCCCAUGAGAGUUAAGGUACAUUCAACUAUGCUGUAAAAGGAAAUUCGCAAUUGUAUUUAUUGCUGCAAAACGCCUUUGAAGUUCAGAUUAACUUGUCUAAUUGCAAAAGAUUUAUUAGAUCAUCUUGUGUUUUGUUUUGUUUUGU